AGCAACUGCAGGAGGCACAGGAGAAUGUCCGCUUCCUCUCAUGUGAGGUGGAGGAGAUGAGGACACUGGUCCACACGCUGAAGCUGACGGAGAGCUCCCUGACAGAGGAGGUGGAGGAGCUGCAGGAAGAGAACCGGAGACUGUGUCAGAGGCUCAGCUACACCCUCAGAGAGAUCAACCACCACUCUGGUUCUGCUGAGCUGGACUCUAAACUCAGUCCCGGGUCCAGCUCAGCAGACCCAGGACCCAGCCUGGAUAACCCAUCGCCAAACUCCCCUGCCCUUGAUCAAGCAAGUCCUUCCUCUGUGGACAAUUUUGGCCCGGUGAAGCUGACCCCAGGCCUGUCAUUGCGAGACACACCUAUCUCAGCCCACCGAUAUGGAACAGCCCCGAGGUCCCAGGAAGACUCCAUUUUGCCUCUGCCCCAGCCGGACCUCCUGAACCUCUCAGGCCACCUUCGUGAGAACCCGGGUCUCCUAGCACCAGGGACAAAGAGCAGUGAGCCAGCAGAGAUGAGUCGUGGGGAUUGGUGUCCUGAUCCCGGGGGUUUGACUUCUCUCAACCUGGACAAAGGGACGAGCGAGGAGACCGAGGCCCUGAGAGGAGCUUACCUGGACAUGGGUGGUGAGAUGGACUCAAUCCACGACCACAGGGACCUGCUGGAGGGCACUCAACAACACACACAGGAUGAUCUGCACAGGGUGACCGAGGAGAACACCCGACUGAUAUGGAAACUCAGGGAACUGGGAGGAACGGAAGCCUGCGAGAUGGAGCAAGGGUCCUCGCCUACAGACCAGAAGAGCAAGACAGGAAAUGUACAAGAAAACAGGGUGACGACUCAAAACCGAAUACCUUCAGAAAGCAGAGAGCCUAAUAGCACUCCAACCCAGGAUCAUAAUAUCCUAGCCUUAACCCAGGAUGACCUUUCUCUGUACACCUUAACCCAGGAAGAGCUGGUUCUUGCCUUGAACCAGGAGAAUCGGGCCCUGGGCAGGCGUAUCCAGGAGCUCUUGGCACAUAUAGAGAGCCAGGAAGGGGAGAGUGAACGGGAGCUGGCCCAGCUCAGGCAACAGGUGUCCCUGCUUGAGAAAGAGAGCCACAGCCUGGAGCAGGAGAAUCAGGAGCAGGGAAGUCUUAUUACGGAGUUGACCAGGAAGACUGAGGAUGACCUCAACACUAUCAUGGAGCUGCGGCAGAGAUUGUCAGAGAGCGGUCAGCGAGGCCUCAUACAGGAUAACCAGGGUUCCGUCCAGUCGGAGUGCUGUCAACAGAGCGAGCAUACUGUCCCGUCAAAGUACGCUAAACAGGGUCAAGACACUUCAGGGUUUGCGAACAGUCUACAGGGCGAUCUCACAGCAGGGUCGGCGAACAGUGAAGAACUGCUGGUUGACCACACAGUCAGGUCAGUGUGUGGUUCACAGAAAGACCGUUUGACCUCUGAGUCCAUGGGCAGGCUCAGAGAGGAGAGAGACGACCUGAUUGGGUCUGUCAGGAGUCUCAAAGAGGAAAGAGAGCAGGUAGCCUUGUCAAUUAGUAGCCAGACAGAGGAGAAACACCAGCUGACACGCUCACUGUGGCUUCUGAAAGAAGAACGAGACCAGGUCAAUCAGUUACUCAGCAGUUUAAAAGAGGAGAAAGAACAGCUUUCAAAGUCUCUAUGCAGUCUGAAAGAUGAGACGGACAAGAUGAAACGGUCUUUGUGUGGUUUAAAAGAGGAGAGAGACCUGCUAGUUCAGUCAAUGUCAGUUUUCCAGGAGGAAAAAGACAAGCUCUCACAGUCUCUCUGCACUCAAAAAGAUGGUAGAGAACUUAACGAGUCACUUUACCGCCUGAAGAAAGAGAGAGACCAGUUGAAGUCAAUGUGUAGUUUAAAAGAAGAGAGAGAACCAAGAACACAGCCCCUCCAUAAUCUAGAGCAGGAAAGAGACAAGCUGUCAUCUCUCUGCCAUCAAAAAGACAUUAGCGCUCUAAAACAAGACAGAGAGCAGACAGUUCAGUCAAUAGAUGUUCUAAGGGAACAGAGAGAACAGUUGAGGGAGGAGAGGGACCAGAUGCAAAUGGACAUCGCUGCCUUAAGGAAUCAGCUACUGUUACCGGGGUGGAGUCACAACCAGCAGCUGUCCGGGAACCCCAUUGGCAUGGCAACACACAUAGAAGGUGUGGCUUCAGAGAGCAGGGGUGCAGUGCCAAACAUGGACGUUGAUGACGAAGUCAGUCAGAGAGUUCCUGCCUUGGCCUACUCCUGCACGACCACUGACCUGUCUCCGUCUGCUCAGGACCAGUUGGGAGACAAGAGGACAGAUGUGGAGACCAAUAAUCUGGUGAAGGAGAUGGAGUUGUUGGGGGUAGAACUCAGAAGGUCCAGAGAAGACCUGGAGAAGGCCAAAUCAGAGGCUCAGGAAUGGUCCCGGGAGCUGGGUGUGUCUGAGGUAAGACGAGAGGAAGCUGAGAAGAAAGCACUACAGGCAGCCAGUAAAUUAAAGAAGUUGAGGGAGGAAACCGAGGAGAUUGAGAGGGAGAACCACACACUGAGAGCAGAGGUAUCCCAUUCUCUCUACUGUUAUGGAAAUUCUUGAACUAAUGUAUUUCAAGAGUUCCUAUCGUUG
ensembl:lncRNA